AACGAACGCUGGCGGCAGGCCUAACACAUGCAAGUCGAGCGGAUCCUUCGGGAUUAGCGGCGGACGGGUGAGUAACGCGUGGGAAUAUGCCCUUCUCUACGGAAUAGCCUCGGGAAACUGAGAGUAAUCCCGUAUACGCCCUUUGGGGGAAAGAUUUAUCGGAGAAGGAUUAGCCCGCGUUGGAUUAGGUAGUUGGUGGGGUAAUGGCCUACCAAGCCUACGAUCCAUAGCUGGUUUGAGAGGAUGAUCAGCCACACUGGGACUGAGACACGGCCCAGACUCCUACGGGAGACAGCAGUGGGGAAUCUUAGACAAUGGGGGCAACCCUGAUCUAGCCAUGCCGCGUGAGUGAUGAAGGCCUUAGGGUUGUAAAGCUCUUUCAGCUGGGAAGAUAAUGACGGUACCAGCAGAAGAAGCCCCGGCUAACUCCGUGCCAGCCGCCGCUGUAA
rnacentral:rRNA from 1 species